rnacentral:lncRNA from 10 species
GUAAUGGAAAAGAAGAAAUUUGGAUGUAGAACCAGACUCAAUUUCCCAGUCUUGCUCCUGGGUAUGUGGUCUGUUGACUAUCUUCCUCCCAAAUCCUCCACUCUUGUUUUCUUGUUAUCUGCGAAGCUGGAAGUCAGAGGACUCUGAUGCCCUAGGUGAUGGCGGAGAUACAAGAUUGAAGGAGCCUGGGUCCCGAGUCAUUGCUUGGAAAGAGCCAUACAGCAGGGCCACCUGUCCAGGAACACUCACAUUGUGUUAUUUCACAAAUGAAAAAUGAACACUGGAGUGCUGGGGCUGAUUGUCACAGCGGUUAGCCUCCUCUGAAGAACGCAGCUGGAUUUCACCCUCUCUCUAGCUAUGGAGCUCAUCCACAUUUGCUUCCUAAUUGAUGCUUUGAUGAGUAUCAUUAAUCCAUUUUUUUAUGACUUUUUUUAAAAAACAAAAUGCAUCUUCCAUUUUCCAUGACUACUAGAACUAUAGACAAAAGAUGCAAGAAAAUAUUUACUCUAUUAGGGGCAUUAAAUAGUAUUUAAUUUCUUUCUUUUGACUACACAAACUUUUGAAGUUUUAGGACAGUAGCUGCAUAGAUCUACUUGUAAGAGAAAAAUUAAUUUUUAAUUUCUCUUAUUAUUUGGAAUGUUCUCUUGAAAUUAGUAAGUUCAAAAUCCAGUUGAUUUUCCCUUUGUUAAUCUGAUAUAAUUAAUUUAUAUAAAUGUUUUCCAGGCUAAAGCCCAAGUACAUGGAAAUUUACAUAGUAAAAACCAGGAAAUAAUGUUACUGUUUAUCAUGUUGGCUCCUGCACUUUCAAGUUACCUUUCUUACCUUAUUACUUGGGAACAAUGAUGUCAUGGCUUAGAAUUUAGAUGUUUCUAGGUACUUACUUUGUGAUUAUCAGCAACCUUACUAUAUGACAGCUUGUUUU